rnacentral:antisense_RNA from 1 species
UGUUUACCUCUUCUUUUGCAGAUGGCUUGAUAUAGAUGAAGAUGCAGCUGCCAUAAGUGAUGGAAACCACAGUAAUAUGUGAAGAACAG